CUCCAAUAAGCCUCCCCUACUAAAACACCCAAGGGGAGGAAACUAGUCUUCUAAUAAUUCGAGCAAAAAAUAAAAAAAAUGAAUGGAAAGGUAAUUAUCUCCGCUGUUUCUCUUAUCCUCGUUGUAGGUGUUGCCAUCGGCGUGGUUUGCGCUGUUCACAAAAAUGGUGAAGACCCUGAGGUUAAAACUCAACAAAGAUCUCUUCAAGUUAUGUGCCAAAAUGCAGAUGACCAAAAACUCUGCCAUGAAACACUUAGCUCUGUGCGUGGCGCCGACGCCGCUGACCCUAAGGCAUACAUAGCAGCCGCUGUAAAGGCAGCCACUGACAAUGUCAUUAAGGCCUUUAACAUGAGUGACAGGCUCACCACUGAGUAUGGAAAGGAAGAUGGUACCAAGAUGGCUCUUAAUGACUGCAAGGACUUGAUGCAAUUCGCUUUGGACAGUCUUGACCUCUCCACCAAGUGUGUUCAUGACAGCAACAUUCAAGCUGUUCAUGACCAAACCGCUGAUAUGAGGAAUUGGUUGAGUGCAGUUAUCUCUUACAGACAAGCUUGUAUGGAAGGAUUUGACGAUGAAAAUGACGGUGAGAAGAAGAUCAAGGAGCAAUUAGACGUUCAGAGUUUGGACAGCGUACAAAAGGUUACCGCUGUUGCCCUUGACAUUGUGACUGGUUUGUCCGACAUCCUCCAGCAAUUCAACUUGAAGUUUGAUAUCAAACCUGCUUCCCGUCGUCUUCUUAAUUCUGAGGUGACUGUUGAUGAUCAAGGAUACCCUUCAUGGAUCUCUGCUUCUGAUCGCAAGCUUUUGGCUAAAAUGAAAGGAAACGGAUGGAGAGCAAAUGUUGGGGCUAAUGCUGUUGUUGCCAAGGAUGGUAGCGGUCAAUUUAAAACCAUCCAGGCUGCUAUUGCCGCUUACCCUAAGGGGAACAAAGGCAGAUAUACUAUCUACGUUAAGGCUGGCGUCUAUGAUGAAUACAUCACUAUUCCCAAAGACGCUGUUAACAUUCUUAUGUAUGGUGAUGGCCCCGGAAAGACCAUUGUUACCGGAAGAAAGAACGGUGCUGCUGGUGUCAAGACCAUGCAAACCGCCACCUUCGCCAACACCGCAUUGGGGUUCAUUGGAAAGGCAAUGACAUUUGAGAACACAGCCGGUCCUGCUGGUCACCAAGCUGUGGCAUUUAGAAACCAAGGAGAUAUGUCUGCUUUGGUGGGUUGCCAUAUCCUGGGUUACCAAGACACUUUGUACGUUCAAACCAACAGGCAAUUCUACCGCAAUUGUGUUAUCUCUGGUACCGUUGAUUUCAUCUUUGGAACAUCUGCCACCUUGAUCCAAGACUCUACGAUCAUCGUAAGAAUGCCUUCCCCAAAUCAAUUCAACACAAUUACCGCAGACGGGUCAUACGUGAAUAAAUUGAAUACUGGUAUUGUGAUCCAAGGCUGCAAUAUUGUCCCAGAAGCAGCAUUGUUCCCUCAAAGAUUCACAAUUAAAUCUUACUUGGGCAGACCAUGGAAGGUUUUAGCAAAGACGGUCGUCAUGGAAUCCACCAUUGGUGAUUUUAUUCAUCCAGAUGGAUGGACCCCUUGGCAAGGAGAACAUUUUGAAAACACAUGUUACUAUGCAGAGUACGCCAACACUGGACCUGGUGCCAAUAUUGCCAGGAGGAUCAAGUGGAAGGGUUAUCACGGUGCCAUUAGCAGGGCCGAGGCUACCAAAUUCACUGCUGGUUUAUGGCUCCAAGCUGGACCCAAGUCCGCAGCCGAAUGGUUGACUGGUCUUAAUGUUCCUAAUUACCUUGGCUUCAAAGCUUGAAAAUUAAACAUGUAA